UUUGCCCUUAUUAUUUUGAUGAAUGACAGUGUUGCCUGAGAAGUUCGGCUAUAAUUCUGGGUUCUUCUUCUUUUUGGAAGUAUCUGUUUUCACUAUCUCCACACCGACAUCGGUUCUUGCAGACUGUCAAUGUGGUUUUCGGUUCAAUUUUCAGUCUAUGUUGGGUUUCUGUUUGAUUACACUUAACAAAACCUGUUUUUUGCUUUCCGAUUUUGUUGAAACAGAAGAAGAGGAGGAGGAGGAAGAAGAAGAAGAAGAGGGAGACGGGAAGAAGUUGUCGCUCGAUUCGAACAAAUCAUCUCAGGGGUAUUGUUCCUGCUGCAGUUUGGGGUUUGAGUGAUUGAUUUGAGGACGUUGAAGGUUGAAGUUUGGAUCUUGGUUGUAAUCUGAAAACAGAGUUCUGCCAAAAACAAGUAAAACAGGUUUGAUCUCUAAUGAAAGUCUUUCACUACUAUUACAGUUCAAUUGCUUUGGGAGUCAUUUCUGUUGAGAAGGUGAGCCUCUGUCUAUUUAUAUUCAAAUAUGUAAUACAGUAAUAGUGCCCUAUGUACUAUUACUGAUACUCAAAUACAUCCAAAACUCUUUCCUUCUGAAAUUUGAACCUUAAGUACAGAACUGCUAUAUUCAUCCAUUGUUAUUCAGUUUUUCUUGCAUUAGUAAAGACUUGGGGGGAGAGACUGAGAAAAAAGACAUAAACGAUUAGCAUCAAAGUGAUCAAAGGGAAAAAUAUUGGUCAUACAAUAUGCGGGUUCUGACCACUAAUAGGAAUGAAGUUGUUUCCAUUACUCGAAGACAAGCUUAAUUAUUUGAAUGAUGUACUUGAGUAUCAGUAAUAAUACAUAAUAUAUAUAUAUAUAUAUAUAUAUAAUUUUUUUUUUUCUAGAAACUCCGAGGUGUUUAAUGGAUUUAGGAUGGAGGUUUAGAUAAGCUAACUAUACUUUCACUACUAUUGUUCUUUCAAUUGGAUGAUUUACUGUUGUUAGUUUUGAAAUGAUAUUAAUUUUUAUGUUCUAUAUACUUUAUUUGUUCUAUAGUUUCAAAUUUAGGUAAUUGACUGCGACAGCUUCAAGGUAUGAAUCUAAUCAUGGGAUGAAUAAUAGAAUGCUGUAAUUGCUUUGGUUUCUUGAGUUAGUGUGAAAAUGUUCAAAUGGAUAAACCUAGGAAAGGAUAGGUUGUUGUAAUUGCUUCGGUUUUUUUUUUUUUUUUUGGUGAAAAAUGUAACAAAGUUUUAGUCUUUCAAUUCCAUUUAUGAUGUCAAAAUGUUAUAGUUUUCAAUUUAUGUACAAAUUUGGGUUAGUUGAUGCACUUAUCUGGGUAGGUGAGAGUUUUUGUUAUUUCUUUCUUUCGUUAAUUGAAGCUCAUCUGAUUCAAUUGUUCAUGUGUGGAAUUUGGUUUUGUAACUUCUUUGUUUAUGAUUGCAGAGAUGGAGCUAUCCCUGGUCUCACUUGAAAGAAACCUCCUUAAAGGGAUGAAGAAGCCGUGAAGAAAUCAACGCUGGUCUGCGCCGAAACAUUGAAGAACGAGGCAAUCCAAGGAUCUUUUCUAGAAGCAUACUACACCACAGUAAGGACUGCUGCCUUCUUCCUUGCCUAGCAGUUUUUGGUUUCUCAACUUUCUCUCUAUUUACUUUCCUUGCUGCUGCCUCCAUGCACUUUGGCAUCCGUUGCUGUGACAGGCAAGCAGAAAAACAUGGAACUACAUCAUCAUCAUCAGCACCAUUGUCAGCUGCUAAAUAGAAAAACAAUUGAAUUGAAAUAGCUAUGUUAUAUAGCUUUUGCUAGACUAAUCAAUUUCGUGCAGCUGCAACUACAACUCCAAUCGGAGCCGUCACUUUUUUGAACCAACACUAGCAUUUUACAAAGCUGCAACUGAAACAACCAACUGGAGUACUUUGUACAAACUGACUCCUUAAAUUCACUCCAGCAGCUCCUUUUGAUAGAUUAACCUAUCUCUUAUAUCCUUUUUGUAAAGCUACAACUAGAAUAGCUAGCCUUUUUGUGCAGCUAGCAUGUUUGCAUCAUCUCCUUUCAAAUAGACUGCAGCUAAAAUCUAAGAUGUAUGAAAACUGUUUUCACUAUUUGAAUGAAAUGUGAUGAUUUUC